rnacentral:rRNA from 1 species
ACAGUUUGAUCCUGGCUCGGGAUGAACGCUGGCGGUAUGCAUAACACAUGCAAGUCGAACGAAUAUGACUUCGGUCAUAUUAGUGGCGGACGGGUGAGUAACGCGUGGAUAACCUGCCUCAUACAGAGGGAUAACUGGAAGAAAUUCCAGCUAAAACCUCAUAACCCCUAUUAGACGCAUGUCUUGAUAGGGCAAAUGUUAAUUCAGGUAUGAGAUGGAUCCGCGUCUGAUUAGCUAGUUGGUGAGGUAAUGGCUCACCAAGGCGACGAUCAGUAGCCGGCCUGAGAGGGUGAACGGCCACAUUGGGACUGAGACACGGCCCAAACUCCUACGGGAGGCAGCGGUGGAGAAUAUUGCACAAUGGGGGAAACCCUGAUGCAGCAAUACCGCGUGAAGGAAGACGGUUUUCGGAUUGUAAACUUCUAUCGAUGGGGAAGAAAAAAAUGACGGUACCCAAGUAAGAAGCCCCGGCUAACUACGUGCCAGCAGCCGCGGUAAUACGUAGGGGGCAAGCGUUAUCCGGAAUUAUUGGGUGUAAAGGGUGAGUAGGCGGCUUAGCAAGCCAUAUGUGAAAUACCACGGCUCAACCGUGGGAUUGCAUAAGGAACUGCUAGGCUAGAGUACAGGAGAGGUAAGCGGAAUUCCUAGUGUAGCGGUGAAAUGCGUAGAUAUUAGGAGGAACACCAGUGGCGAAGGCGGCUUACUGGACUGAAACUGACGCUGAGUCACGAAAGCGUGGGGAGCAAACAGGAUUAGAUACCCUGGUAGUCCACGCUGUAAACGAUGAGUGCUAGGUGUCGGCAUGAAAAUGUCGGUGCCGGAGCAAACGCAAUAAGCACUCCACCUGGGAAGUACGAUCGCAAGAUUGAAACUCAAAGGAAUUGACGGGGGCCCGCACAAGCGGUGGAGCAUGUGGUUUAAUUCGAAGCAACGCGAAGAACCUUACCAAGACUUGACAUCCUCUUGAAAGGUAUAGAGAUAUACCCUUCCUUCGGGACAAGAGUGACAGGUGGUGCAUGGUUGUCGUCAGCUCGUGUCGUGAGAUGUUGGGUUAAGUCCCGCAACGAGCGCAACCCUUAUCUUUAGUAGCCAGUAGGUAAAGCUAGGCACUCUAAAGAGACUGCCGUGGAUAACACGGAGGAAGGUGGGGAUGACGUCAAAUCAUCAUGCCCCUUAUGUCUUGGGCUACACACGUGCUACAAUGGCUCAUACAAAGUGAAGCGAAGUCGUGAAGCAGAGCAAACCACAAAAGUGAGUCUCAGUUCGGAUUGUAGUCUGCAACCCGACUACAUGAAGCUGGAAUCGCUAGUAAUCGCAAAUCAGAAUGUUGCGGUGAAUACGUUCCCGGGCCUUGUACACACCGCCCGUCACACCAUGGGAGUUGGAAGCACCCGAAGCCUAUGACUCAAGGCGUAAGCCAGAGAGUAGUCUAAGGUGAAGUCAGCGACUGGGGUGAAAUCGUAACAAGGUAACCGUA